GUUGAAGCUCAACUCUCUCUUUCACCUCCAUCUUUUUCCUCUCAAUCUCUUCUUCCUUGGCUUGGAAUGAGGAAAUGGCCAAUUUCGAAACCUCCUCAUCCUCAUGCUCUUCUGUUGAUAGCCUCCCACUGCUUCCAACACUCCCAAGGUUCUUCAUUUUCUGCAUUUUGUCUCUGUUCCUGCAAACUAGGCACAUAUGUUUCCACAAAACUUAUUCAGCUGCUUUAUGGUGUUUAUUUCAGGGAGAGAGGUUUGUUUUGCUUUCACUUCAAUGUUCCUUCUAUUCUAUUCUAUCCAUCUCAACCACUGGUUUUCUCUUGACUUCUAAAAGCAGUAAAGAGACUCCCAUGAGCUUUAUGAGAAACUGUUAUAGAAAUUUUGGAUUUGGAUG
rnacentral:lncRNA from 1 species